rnacentral:tRNA from 1 species
GGAGGGGUGUCCGAGUGGCUUAAGGAGCCGGUCUCGAAAACCGGUGUAGGGUAAUCCCCUACCGUGGGUUCAAAUCCCACCCCCUCCGCCA